CGGAGAUGUCUCCUUUCCAAUAUCGAUGGAGAUACUCGGUCAUACUGUGGGUUAAGUACCUUAGACGUAUAUCGUCGAAAGUGUGAUGUGAGGGAGGGUUAGAUGCCCA
rfam:Bacillus sp. TS-2 DNA, contig: BspTS2nb38.